rnacentral:rRNA from 1 species
UACGUAGGGUGCAAGCGUUGUCCGGAAUUAUUGGGCGUAAAGAGCUCGUAGGCGGUCUGUCGCGUCGGCUGUGAAAAUCCCGAGGCUCAACCUCGGGUCUGCAGUCGAUACGGGCAAACUAGAGUAUUGCAGGGGAGACUGGAAUUCCUGGUGUAGCGGUGAAAUGCGCAGAUAUCAGGAGGAACACCGGUGGCGAAGGCGGGGUCUCUGGGGCAGUAACUGACGCUGAGGAGCGAAAAGCGUGGGGGAGCGAAACAGG